rnacentral:rRNA from 1 species
CCUACGGGGGGCAGCAGUGGGGAAUAUUGGACAAUGGGGGCAACCCUGAUCCAGCCAUGCCGCGUGUGUGAAGAAGGCCCUCGGGUUGUAAAGCACUUUCAGUGAGGAAGAACGCCUGGUGGUUAAUACCCAUCAGGAAAGACAUCACUCACAGAAGAAGCACCGGCUAACUCCGUGCCAGCAGCCGCGGUAAUACGGAGGGUGCGAGCGUUAAUCGGAAUUACUGGGCGUAAAGCGCGCGUAGGUGGCUUGAUAAGCCGGUUGUGAAAGCCCCGGGCUCAACCUGGGAACGGCAUCCGGAACUGUCAAGCUAGAGUGCAGGAGAGGAAGGUAGAAUUCCCGGUGUAGCGGUGAAAUGCGUAGAGAUCGGGAGGAAUACCAGUGGCGAAGGCGGCCUUCUGGACUGGCACUGACACUGAGGUGCGAAAGCGUGGGUAGCAAACAGGAUUAGAUACCCGUGUAGUC